GAGGGCAGAGCUCAGUGGUGGAGCAUGGGCUUAAUGUGCACAAGGUCCUGGGUUCCAUCCCCAGUGCCUCCG
rnacentral:tRNA from 1 species